CACGUAGGCACCAAGCGUUGUCCGGAUUUAUUGGGCGUAAAGAGCUCGUAGGCGGUUCAGUAAGUCGGGUGUGAAAACUCUGGGCUUAACCCAGAGCCUGCAUCCGAUACUGCUGUGACUUGAGUUCGGUAGGGGAGUGGGGAAUUCCUGGUGUAGCGGUGAAAUGCGCAGAUAUCAGGAGGAACACCGGUGGCGAAGGCGCCACUCUGGGCCGAAACUGACGCUGAGGAGCGAAAGCGUGGGUAGCAAACAGG
rnacentral:rRNA from 1 species